rnacentral:rRNA from 1 species
AACGAACGCUGGCGGCAGGCUUAACACAUGCAAGUCGAACGAUUAAAGCCCUUCGGGGUGUAUAAAGUGGCAAACGGGUGAGUAACACGUGGGAAUGUACCUUUUGGUUCGGGACAACAGUUGGAAACGGCUGCUAAUACCGGAUGAGCUCUACGGAGGAAAGAUUUAUCGCCAAAAGAUCAGCCCGCGCUAGAUUAGUUUGUUGGUAAGGUAACGGCUUACCAAGACUACGAUCUAUAGCUGGUCUGAGAGGAUGAUCAGCCACACUGGGACUGAGAUACGGCCCAG